rnacentral:rRNA from 1 species
AGUGAACGCUGGCGGUAGGCCUAACACAUGCAAGUCGAACGGCAGCACAGUAAGAGCUUGCUCUUACGGGUGGCGAGUGGCGGACGGGUGAGGAAUACAUCGGAAUCUACUUUUUCGUGGGGGAUAACGUAGGGAAACUUACGCUAAUACCGCAUACGACCUACGGGUGAAAGCAGGGGAUCUUCGGACCUUGCGCGAUUGAAUGAGCUGAUGUCGGAUUAGCUAGUUGGCGGGGUAAAGGCCCACCAAGGCGACGAUCCGUAGCUGGUCUGAGAGGAUGAUCAGCCACACUGGAACUGAGACACGGUCCAGACUCCUACGGGAGGCGGCAGUGGGGAAUAUUGGACAAUGGGCGCAAGCCUGAUCCAGCCAUACCGCGUGGGUGAAGAAGGCCUUCGGGUUGUAAAGCCCUUUUGUUGGGAAAGAAAAGCAGCAGGUUAAUACCCCGCUGUUCUGACGGUACCCAAAGAAUAAGCACCGGCUAACUUCGUG